rnacentral:rRNA from 1 species
GACGUAGGGGGCAAGCGUUGUUCGGAAUUAUUGGGCGUAAAGCGCUCGUAGGCGGGACUGGAAGUCCGUGUUGAAAGACCUCGGCUCAACUGAGGGACCGGCUCGGAUACUCUAGUUCUUGAGGCAAUCAGAGGGUGAUGGAAUUCCCGGUGUAGCGGUGAAAAUGCGUAGAUAUCGGGAGGAACACCAGUGGCGAAGGCGAUCACCUGGGGUUGUUCUGACGCUGAGGAGCGAAAAGCUAGGGGGAGCAAACGGGGAUUAGAAA